rnacentral:lncRNA from 1 species
UUUUUUUUUUUUUGGUAAAAUGUUAAAUUAUUAUACCAAAUUUUCAAGUUUUUGACAGCGGUUAUAGAGAAACUAGUAGCAGAAAACAGAAACAAAACUAAACAACAACUGGAAAUUAAGUAACAAUGAAAAGAACCCAAGCAGAGAAGCUAGUCUAGCAACCAGCUAAACAGCAGAGAAUGCUGAGACCAAACAAACUGGA